rnacentral:lncRNA from 1 species
CUUAUGGGAAGGAAUAGAUAGAACACACUGAAUUUUGUAAAUACGAAUCAUAAAAUAACAGAAUUUCACAGUUGGAAGGAAUAUGAAAGAUCUUGAAGAUAAACCCUUAAGGACAGUUAUAUAGCUGAGAACCAUGGAAUUUUAUAGGGGGAGGGGCAGUUUUCUACUUAGGCAUGUCCAUUGGUUACCUGUUUCUGAUGUCACAAGCAAAGAAAAUUACAGGGACACAACCUAACCAGGCUUCCUAGGAAGAUCUCUUUAAAUAGAGCAUGGAGCUCAAAGUUUCCAGGAUAGAAAAUUAUAGUAUGGACAGUUCCAGGAGGAAAGAUUUCAGAAAAGGGGCAGAGAGAGUGUGCCAGGCAGAGGCACAAACAUCAUUUAGAAGCCUUGUGGGUAUCAGAGAAAUUAGAAAUUUCUGAGCCUACCAUGAUCUGUGUGUGAGAAGUAAGUCUGCAAACAUCAACCAGGCCAUGCAUAAGUGAAGAGGAAGGUGUACUGGUCUGGUACAGAGACUGAAUGAAUGAUAACAAAUGGAUAGGCAGAGUUGUUCAAGUAUCUCUGAAGCACUUUCAAAAACCAGAAAAAGGCCUCCAGGAUGGUGGGUAACUGUAGGUAUUUACAGACAGACACCGUAAAAGACCUUACCUGAAAGGACUAUGUUAUGUACUAGCAGAGGGAGAGUCCAAGUUCAUAGGACCUUCAAAUCUUGGUCAAAGCUGAUGGGUGGUCUUUUGGAAAGAACACUGGAUCUGGAAGCAAAGGACCUAGGUAUGGCAUUUGGACAUGUUCUUUGCUUCUGUGACUUUGGAAUUCACUGAGGAGUGAUCCAUACUGGUGGAUACCAGCACCAAUAAUAGAAUGGAAGGAGGUGAAGGUGAGGAGGGAAUCCUUGCUAUCCAAAGAUUGAAACCAAACUGAGUCCUGAGCCUACUGUGAUCUCAUCUAGUCCAAAGUCUCAUUCAG